rnacentral:rRNA from 1 species
UACGAGGGGUGCGAGCGUUGCUCGGAAUUAUUGGGCGUAAAGGGUAGGUAGGUGGUCUUAUUUGUCUGGGGUGAAAGCCUUGAGCUUAACUCAAGAAGUGCCCCAGAAACGGUAAGACUAGAGUCUUGGAGAGGGUCGUGGAAUUCCCGGUGUAGCGGUGAAAUGCGUAGAGAUCGGGAGGAACACCAGAGGCGAAGGCGGCGACCUGGACAAGUACUGACACUCAACUACGAAAGCGUGGGGAGCAAACAGG